rnacentral:tRNA from 1 species
CAGGGAAUAAAUAUUUAAGAGCUGCUAACUACUUAUUAAGGUGAUUAAAUUCAUCUUUCCCUUC